GAUGAACGCUGGCGGCGUGCCUAAUACAUGCAAGUCGAGCGAACAGACGAGGAGCUUGUUCCUCUGACGUUAGCGGCGGCCGAGUGAUUAACAACUGGUUAACCACCUGCUAACACUGGGAUAAUAUCGGGAUGCCGGAGUUACUACUACAUAAUAUUCUGAAUCUCUCGCUUCAUUAGUCUAAGACGGAUUUGCUGUCGCUUAUGGAUGGAUCCGCGCCGCAUUAGCUAGUUGGUAAGGUAAUGGCGUACCAAGGCAACGAUGCGUAGCCGACCUGAGAGGGUGAUGGACCACACUGGAACUGAGACGCGGUCCAGACGCCUACGGGAGGCGGCAGUAGGGAAUAAUACUCCAUGGGCGAAAGAAGGAUGGUGCAGCGCCGCGUGAGGGAUGAAGGUCUUCGGAGCGUAAAACUCUGUUAUUAGGGAAGAACAAAUGUGUAAGUGAUUAUGCACGUCUUGACGGUACCUAGAUAGAAAGCCACGGCUAACUACGUG
rnacentral:rRNA from 1 species